GAUAAUCUCCACAAAUGAACACCACUUAUAUGAUUUUUGAAGCGUGAAUGCAAUCGGCAAAAGUAAAAAGCUAACGUUAGGCUAUAAACUACACCACAGUCGCAUGACUUCACGUCACCACCACUAACCUAAAGGCCCACUAGUGUUUGGCGUGAUGACGUUUAGUAACGAGGGAACCGGAAGUGCUAAAAUGUUAACUAAUUUCCGGGUUUUAGAACUCGUUCCUGCAGCAUUCUGUUCAGCUUAUGUGUGCUUGUCUUCGCAGUAUCCUCCGAAAUGUGUCCUGGUGAAAUGGACAGGUGAUAUUAUGGAAAGGUUUCACUGAUAAAUAAACAGGUCAAGGCACAUGCUAGGCUUCCUUACAUUUCUUUAAAAAGUAAUGCCUCUUUGCCAAUCCCUGAUUAUACUGAGGCCUACAUGUUGAAGAUGCAUCAAAUGUGUUCUCUUUUUGCAGUGUGGGAAUCUGAGAGCUGUGCAUGUACAUUAUACAUUUCUCAACUGUACAACCUUUCCUUCAGCAGCUGACCUGACCGUUGACACUUACAGUACUUCAUCAUUGCCAACUAUAUGUAGCCAAUAUUUACUAGAUUUACAAUAUAUUGUAUUACAUGAGCGAGCUAAACCCCAAACCACUGGAAGCUCGUCAACUUUUAUCAACCAUGGAUACUUAUUGUAUAUAGUAGAAUAAUGUUAGGUAUUUGAGAAAUUGUAUUGCUUUGAUUAUUUUUGUUUCCUUUACACCACUUCCUUCUUCUUAUUUUGUUUUUGCCAGGGGAACUCUUAAGACCAAAGAACACACAUUACACAAACAAUAAAUUCUUAAAAUGUUUUAUUAUUUUUUUUGUUUGUGAUGGUCAUCAUGGUUUCAUCUCAUGCCACACAUCAUUUUGAAAUAUUUUAUUUCAUUCACCAACCCCCAUCUAUGUCAACUUAAUAAAUGUUUUACAGAAA